AGGUUGAAUACCCCAUGUGUCUUAGAUUCCAUAUCUUUUAAGCUGAAAGCUCUUAGAAGUUCUUGUGCCUGAGAAAACCGGGGUGAAGACUGAAGAGCCGGCAGACCUGGUCUCCAGCUGAGAGGUGCCCACUGGAUGGGUACCAGUUGGGCUUGAAAAUGCAUGCACUGGGUGCUCAACGUGCUUUGCUUUAGCUGUGCUGCUUACACAGGUGGACAUACAGCCUUCUGGUUUAGUCCUAAAGCUGCCAUUUUUUAUCUGUGGUCAAAACAAAAGAGUAAUAUUUUCUGCUAUGGAAAAGCUCCUUUCUGGUAAACUAAAAUUAGAGCGUAAAUAUUUUUAAAGUAUUUUGUUAUUACAAAUGUGGGUGAAGGAAAACAUUGAAAAAUAUAUUGGAUGAAAUCUACAUGGUUGGCUUUGCUAUUAUUGAAUGAUUGCUGUGAGGAGUCCUAUUCUUUUCCUUUAAAUUUUCAAAGACAAACCACAUCCACACAUGAAAUUUGUUGAAAUUGUACUUAUAGCAUAGACACUAUGAAAAAAUAUUGUUAUUGCAAAAGUAAAUAAUUCGAUAGUAAAUUUAAAUGAAGAAGAAAUGGGAUUUCUCCUCCUUCAAAUAACCUCAUUUUAAUGUUAACGAAACCUUGACCAAAAAAAAAAAUCUCCUGGAAGGGUAAAAGCUAUCGAGUAUUACAGAAAAGAACCACUUAAAAGUGGCCAAAAGAGCCUAAGGUGACACACAAGCACUGACAACAUUGCUCCUCCUGAGUUUUAUUCUGGUCACACACAGAUGUACUUGCUCUGGGCAAGGUGUGUAGGAACUGACUAAGUGUGCACAUACUGCAGGCAGUCCAAAUGUGACAAACAUGGUUUAAUGUGUUAAAAUCUGGGGGUUGGUUAGCUCAUUUUUUCAAGAGGUCACUUGCUCAAGGACAGCACGUGUUUGUUGUUCGCCUCAGUCUAACCAAGACAUGCAGCUUCUUGGUUUCCUCCCAUGUUUCUCUCAUCCUCUGUGGCCUUUGGUGGAGCCCAGUUACGUACUUUUUUCUGACAUAAGCCCCUAUGCUGUAUGAAAUAGCCUGCAGAUGUUGACUGGCAGGGAGUCUGAGAAGCAGACUUCUUUCACUAACAAACUGACCUUCACCUGGCUGGAGAUCAUUAUCUCAAAUUUUCUUUAGAUGUGUCUAGUUGAGCAAAUUGUUGUUGAUGUUAGGUGUGCUGGGAUGCUUGUGUUCAUCAAUGAUUCUCUUCAGCUAUUUCAGCCUGCAAUGUCUUAUAUGUGCAAUGAAAAUAAUCCUUUCUUCUUACUGUGAGGGUGUAGGUGAAUAAUUUCUCUAAAAUUCUCCUGAUAUCUAUUUCAUCUUUGAGGGACAUGUUGAUGUAACAACGAAUACACACAAAGAGUGUCAGCAGUCUGGAGAGCAGAGUGGGACUUCAGCUCAUUGUCUUUGCUCUGGUGCUUUCUCAGGCUACAUACAGUAUCUGCAUUUCUCUGCCUCUAAAAAUAUCUCAGAUUAGCAUCCAAGAGUAUUAACAGCUGUACACUUUGGGGUGACAUAUGCAAAAGUAUCAUAUUUGAGUUCAUUCUUACUCAGGAAGUAAGGGGUAUGUGCACAAGAAUAUUUCCAAAGAAUUUUUUAAUUACUACUGUCCUCUGCAGACCCUAAUUCCUUAUGCCUUGCAGUAGCUGGCAUUCCCCACCACCAGCCAACUACAGUAAAUUCAUUCACAUACAUAAACUUCAUUGAAGUCUUGUUUUUCCAGUUCUUAAAAACACUUCAGCCACAACUGAUGUGGUUUAGUUCAUAUGAUGCAGCCUCUGAGCACUGUUGACCACAGAGAACGUUGAUUACGUAGCAUUAGGCUCCAUGUAUUUUCCAAAUUCUUCCCAUAGUUUAUUGAUGAUGCAAAGGAAGUAUUCUGUGCCAGUUCUGUGGCCAUUGCAGAACAGCAACACAAGUAGUAGAGCAAACACCGUGAGGUACAGGAGCUGCACAAGCCUGAACUGGUUAAGAAGAGUAAGACAUACGGGCUAUAGUUGGCCAGGAAUUGGUUUUUAAUGACAGGGAUACAGCAAAUUGUGCAUACCUGAGGAGAAACCACGAAUGACACAGUCCUCCAUCCUCUUGUUUUGGCACAUGCAAUUAGAAGGCAGGAUACAGAUCACAGAAAUGAUAUACUGAUCCUAUUAGAAUUUCAGGUGAAAAGGCAAGGAUUCACUUCUAAAUGUAAAUUUUGAAAACAGAACUAAGCAAGAUACACUCAGCGAGAUUUCUCCACUGAGCAAUUGCAUCUGGCAGCAUUUCAAGUUUUCUUCUCCCACUACUCUAAGAGCAUAAAGAUGUUGUUAAUACAAAUGAGAAAUACCCAACAUGCCUUCUUGUGGCUUCAACUGAAUAUUUGAAAUGAGGAAAAAAUACAUCUUUAUUCACACUGGAUUCAGUCUCACAUACAAUAAAAUCACUAGAAAAGUACAGCUGUUCAGGUCUCUACUAUCUUAAAUUUCCUCUAUUAAUUACUUUCUUUAAUUAUUUUUAUCUUUUUAUUGACUCUCUUUUCCCACUUAGAAACUCUACAGGUCCUCUUGACUAAUUACAGCAUUAAAACAACCAUUAGAAAGAGUUUCAAAGGGGCAGCUGAUCAAAUGAUCCUUAAAUGAUUUCCAAAGUUAAUUUAUGCCUAUUGUCUAGUCUUGUCUCUAGACAAUUUAUUUUGUGUACGAGAUGUAUGGCCGGCUCAAGAAAGAGGGUCUGAAAGAGAAAUGUGUUGAAAAACUACAUAGACUUAAAACUUAACUUUAGUCAGACCACAGUAAGAGAUAACAGUAAACUGAAAUAAAAAAUUGUCCCACUGAUGUUCCACAGUCUUUUCUGAGAGGAUUUCUACCAAAGCACUUGGUGAUACCUUUGUCAGAUGAAGGAUGCUGGCUGGCCUAGCUGAAUUUUGGCCAUAGUUCUAGCAGACACAAUCAGUUCUUUUACAGUUUGGUAUAUUCCUCUUUAUUAGCUUCAAAAAUAGGCAUUUGCUAAACAACUUUUCAGAAGUGGAGAAGAGAUAUUAGUAUUUACCUUUUAAACCAGUCUUGAUCUGCCUGUAACUUUUUCAGUUUUCAAAAUUCUAUAGAAUAUUUACAAACUCCAAAAGAAACUGGAGCUGUAUUAGCUGUGCUUUUACUACAUAAAACACUUUAUUAUAAUUGUUAUUUAUGAAGUUUUGAUGCAUUGUGAAACAGUUUCAUAAAGUGUCAACCUCCCACACAUGGAUGAAAUUGGCAAAUGAUUCUGUAUUAAGGGUGUGUGUGUACAUAUAUCUGUGUGAAUAAGGAUAUGUAAAUGUAUGUAGAUAUUCAUGUUCUAGAAACAGUUACAAUUUUCAUUUUCAGCCCUGCGUGGGAGGCAGUUUCCUUCCAUGCAGAGGCACAACACACAUCUAUUGAGCAGAGAGGAGAACCCCAUGAUUAGCACUCAGCAGGAAAUGCUGAGAGUUCAGACUGCUGCCUCUAUGGCGUCUGGCAGGACAACAGGAGCUUAGCAGCCUGCAGAGCCCACCUGCCCUGAGAAGACAAAGCUGGGACGCUGUUAAGCAAGCCUGUGGGUUAUCCUGCAUCUGCAUGGGGCAGCGGGAAAGCAGGGUCACCCACACACUCUGCAGCUGCUUUGGUUUGCCCAGCCUGUAGCCAAGGAAAUGAUGUAAAAGAGCUGAAAGUACUGGGAGUGAGGGGAUGGGAAAGGAUGAAUUUGUGAUUGGAUGCAGCAUAGAGGGUGUGUGAGAGGGGUCUGUGACAGCUACAUGCUGGGUCACUGUCCAUGCCUUACUGUCCACAGGCAACUCAGCUGACUGCCUUCCCACAGAACCUGCUCUUCCUGUGUGCCACCAGGAAAGCACUGCAGUGUGUUCUACUGCUCAUGGACUAGGGAAGAGCCCUGCAUGCCAAUCAGUGCCAACAAAUUACCAAGGCAUCAGUGGUCAGUCUCCAACACGCUGAACCCUUCCCAGAAUCUACAGUAAAUCCAGGUCUUGUCCUUGAAUUUAGAAAAGCAGCAUAUUCAUGCUAAAACUGCUUCUGAGGAGGCAACUUCCUUGGAGACAGCCUAACUCUUAAAAAACAAAACUAAAAAUGGGCAAGACACAGGCUUAAAGAAAUGUUUGUUGUGUGUCCAGAACACUGACAUCCAGACCACUCCCUAAGUUUUAUAAAUGUGUCUGGCUGUUGAAGUACUGCAGAUAGAAAGGGUUCUGCAGACUACAAAGUGAAAUUUGGGCUGCUAUUCCCAAAUUAGGCUGAAUGAGAAUUUCCUACAGAUGAGGCAGCUCAAAAUGUUAAGGGGAAUUUCGUGCCAAAUUUCUGAUCCCCACCUUAAAAAUUCUCUCCCAGCAAUCAAGAGAUAAUGAAGCAAGCUGCAUAAUACAUUAGUUUUUUUCUAAAGGCCAGAAGGAAUUGUUCUUUCUUUUACUCAGAGAUAACAAACGAACACCAUGUUUCCCAGUGUCACUGUGGUCUAAACUAAUGCCAGCACCAUCAUAAAUCCUACCCUGCCAUCAGUCCUGUUUCAACAUAAUCUGAAAGAACAUAACCAUUUUUUUGUUACCAUAAACUGAAAAAAACCCCCCACACUUCUGUGACAGGAAAAAAUAUUGGAAUCAUGUCAAAGCAGAGAUAGAAGAACACAAAAAAAGAGCUAAGAACUAACAUUUCUAUUAUGGUAUAAAAUAAAUGACUAAGUUUUCCAUUUUCUGCUGAUGACCAGACAUAAAAGUUAUGCAGCAGCACUGCAGGUCAGGGACAUUCUUCUUAGUGAGGGACAAGUAUUUGCCUGUCUCCACAAGCUGCCAGUUCAAGGGUUCAAUACAUUUUGGGCUAAAGGAGGUACAUAAGGAGGGACCUGCUGAUGGACAUACUGAGGGGCUUCCUUGGUCAGCUGGGGUUUUCUGAAGUGCAGGAACCCCAGUCAGACCAGUCCUGCAGGACUUGCUGCAACAAGGAAAAGGCUAUAAUAAAAGAUCAGUUAGGUCUUACAGUGACCUUGACAUGCAAGGAUAGAAGGAAAGAUUCCAGAAACAGAGACCAGGAUCCAGGUUAAGCCCAGGCCUGGUGCAGUUCAUGUGGAGAAGCCUACUCCUGCCUCUCCUCCCCCCCCCUCCAUAACACAGCACACUACUGGUCACCUCAUUCUCCAGCCAUCCUUAUUUUAGUAACAUGGCAAAAUGGAAAUACUUCUUUCCUUGCAUACCUGUGCUGUUUUGCUUUCUGGCUUCCUUUGAAGAACCACAGUAGCUGCACAAAUCCUGCACUGAGCAUUCUGGUUUUUGGUUUUUUCCCCUCACACAGGGUUUGUGGAGCCCAGCAUUAUCCACAGUUCUCUACAGUUUUAUAGGAAGGACCAUCUGGUGGUCAGCUGCCCAAAUGCACAUUUGCUGCCUCCUGCACCUGUUCAGUGUCAUUCAGCCUCUCUCUGACAGUUGCUCUCCCACCAGAGGUCUUCCUGAGCGAGGGGACAAGAUGAUGCAGCACAUCUCCUGAAACAGCAGCGGGCACAAGGCUGUAGCUGACUGGGAGAUUUAAUGCCUGGAGAAUGCAUGUCAAAGACUUUCCUGCUGCAAGCUUUGAUUGGCCCUUCUGAUGCUAUUUGAGGGGAAAAAAAUUCCAUUCUCACAGCAAAAAAAUUCAGAGGGAUGCUGAAUAUUUCUGAAGAAAAUACAUAUGGUCAAAGUCAUUCAGCAGCUUGGUUUCCAAAGGAUGGGAGGCCAAUAUCUGCACUGCCCCCACACUUAAAGUCAGUAAUUCCAACCUAUUCUGAAAAGGUGUCAAGGAGAGACAUUAAGAGAAUUAAGCUCUUGAAAGCUCUGUGGAAAUCAGUGGCUGGGAAAGAGGUCCAAAUAAUUCCUCUUGGGGAAAAAAUGGGCAGAAAGAUGCCCCUGGCCUGCUGGAGAUAAUGUCAAUCAACACACGAACAUGGAGAAAGGUGCUCCAUCUGCAGGGGGUGUCAGACAUUCAUAGGAAACAGCACUUCGUUAGUUCUGCCCCUCAGAGCACUCAUUUUAAAAAUAGCUCUUUUCUCAGGAUUUGCCAUUUUGUAACUAAGAUGCAACUUCAACUGAGACACCCUUUCUGCAACAUAAGUGUUUUAGAAGAUUACACAUGACAACCCCUAAACAAGCAGCAGUUUUAGAGCUGGAAGAGGGAGCACAGCCAUACCCACAUUAGAAUGUAGCCUGCACAUCUCAGCUGGUCUGAUAUGAAACACUGACCACCACCUAAGCAAAGGUACUUUAUAUUGCAUUUUACAAAAGCAAGAAAGUGACCACUAAUGUGCAUGGUUUUGAUCUCCAUCAGCACAUGGAAACACAUUCCAAACCAUUUCCUUAUGUUCUAUUUGAUACCAUGUUAUAACUCAGGAACAAUUACAAAAACAGAGAAGUACCAAAACUGCUUCUCUUAGACAUGAAUGCAGUUUUCCUUCUCUUCCUGACAUUUCAGAACAAGAUGGUGUGGUGCUUUUUCAAUAAGAAUACCAAAAUAAGGGUCAUAAAAAGGUGUUUAUUUUAUCUGUCACUACAGACCACUGGAAUUUGUCAUCAUUUAUUGCAGUCAACUGAAAAUGUAGUAAAGAUUUAUAACAACAUUCUGUGGUGCUUUACAAACAUAUGCUACCAUCACAGGUAAUUUUACUGUGAUUCUAUUAUGUAUCCUGUGUUUCAAUUUAAUAAAAUCAACACUGAAAUACAUACUUUCUAAACAAGGCAAUACAUAGCAAAUGUUUUCUUUUACUGUAAAUUGAAACUUCAUGUAUUUUGAAAUAAAGUAAUUAUGGUGCAAUUCCUUCAAACAAUAAAGGCUUCAUAAUUUUAAUAAUGUACCAAAUGUAUCUAUGCCGUAGCAGAAACAGAUUUAAAAGAGAAAACCUACGGCAGAAACACAACAUACAGAUUUUUAUUAAAGAAAACUAAAUAGAGCAGCAAGCAUCCUGCAGUACUGCAAGAAUUUGCUUACACACACAGAACAAUUUUUCUCUGUCUCAUAGAAAGUUAACAGAAAAUGUUAGCAAAAAGCCCCUGCUGGUCUCCACUGUUUAUACUAACAAAAAGAGCUAAAAAAAAAAAAAAUCAAUCAGUAUUUAUGAUAAAACCGUAUCUAUGGCUGAUCUAAUAGCUAUGCCCCAAGCCAUUUUCUUACCCUAAUGCUAAAUUCCAGUGAAUUGCUAAUAGUCAUUAUCUGGGAAGAGCAGGAAGACAGCUCUGAAAAAGUGCUGAAGUGCUGCUUUCCUUACUGCUGGCACUGCAAGAAAACAAAGAGAAAUGAUUGUUUAUACUCUACAAUAUCAUUGUAUCAUUUAUAACAUUCAAUCCCGAAUCACUUUUGACAGGUACCACAAGAGAUUUUGCAGCACCAUGGGAUUUUGUGCUUAACUGUUACUGGAGCCCAGGGCUCCUCUUUUUGGUAAAUGCCAGAUUGCCAGACAAUGUAAGAGGGCCCCUUGGCAUUCACUCUUUGCCCCUUACAUAUCAUUUUGCUUCUAUGUUCAGUUUCCUAUGUCUUAUUGACACAUUCCAUAAACAAGUUAAGCAAAUAUUUGGUUAACGGCACCAGCCUGGGAGGUGGUAAAAAAGGCCUGAAGUUGCUCAAGACUGAAGGGGUACCCUCUAUUUCCCAUGCACCAAUUUCUUUUCAGCUAUUUAUAACAUGGGUUAAAAACAGCCUUUAUAUUUUUGGAAAAAAAUUCUUCAACGAAAGGGCUGUCAAGCUUAAAACAGACUGCCCAGGGAAGUGGUUGAGUCACCAUCCCUGGAGGUAUUUAAAAGAUAUGUAGAUGUGGCACUCAAGAACAUGAUUUAGUGGCAGACUUGGCAGUGGUUGGACUUGAUGAUCUUACAGGUCUAUUUCAAUCUAAAUUAUUCUGUGAUUCUGUUUUUUGAAGGAAAGCAAAAUCCCUGUCUUUAGGAGACACUCUGUCCUAUUGUACAGAUGCUAGCGCUCUCAAAAUUAUCUUCAAAAUCCAGGUAUGUCAUGGAUACUGGCAUGGAGCGUUUGGAUGUGUCUGAGCUCUGACAGGAAGGGCUGCCUGCCUGUGGCUCUGACAGCAGCAGUCAUCACCUGCAUGAAAGAAGACAAGCAGGGGCCUGGACAGCACUUGGGUCAGCCCUUAAUCACAAAGCUGAGGGAGACAGAAGAUUAGCAACUGAAAUGUAACAAGAUUAUGGAAACAUGACACCAGUUCUUCAUAUGCUAAAUCAAAACAGUGUAAGUUUGCACUCAGGGAGGAAUGCACCUGCAGUCAGCACUGAGGAAAGUAAUUAGAUUUGAAAAAUCAGGAAUGCCAAGAAGUGCAACUAGGUAAACAUUCAUGGAAUGUGUGCUGGGAAGGGCAAAACCUGGUAUGAGAAGAUAAUGAAGAAAUGCAACAAUCCAUGGAGAAGAUUUAGAAUUAAAAAAAAAAAAAUUAGGAGUAUUUCACCGUUUCUUUAUGAAUUAAGAUAUUAAGCCUAUUAAUAAUGGUGCAGAAAAGGCAGAAGCUUCCAACUAAAAUUUCUACUUCCUAUUUGAAAAGGUGGGUAUUGUGUGAGAAAGUAUUUUCCAACAGACCAGCAACUGAAAAGGCAAAACAUUACCAGGAAUAAUUAACAACUUAAAGACAGCUGACCCAGCCUAUCUUUAGGUAACUGAAAAUGUCAAUAGAUUAGGAAAAGGUCUCUCACUAUACAGGAGGGAAACCAGAAUGAAUCAGGUAUAAAUACAAACCGAUUUUCCGAUAUUCAAGCCAUGCUGCAGAAUUUAAAGGUUCAAAAUCUAAUUACCGUUAAUUACCACCUUUUAUGAGAAACAGGCUUUCGUUAAUCUCAUUUUUCUUGUCAGUGAGGUAUUUGGUUGAUAAACCUAUAACUGAAUAGGUUCAGUAUUUUUGUAGGGAAUCAUCACAGUGAGACAAACAUCCAAACUCACAACUAGAGCAAGACUACGUCUCUAACAUACACAUUGGAAACACAAACUGUCAGAUUUCAACAAGGAGCGCCCCACUGGCUGCCAGUCGAGUGAGCUUUAGGGGAGGCUGCUCAGAUUUGUGACAAGACCCUCACACUUUAAUGCCUGAGUUAAGUUAAACCAUGCAAAGGCAAAGCUGGGCAAAGCUCACACCCUUCUCUGAUUCUGUGACUAGAGAAGAUCCAUUUGUUCAGGCUAUCAAAAAGAACCUGCACAGAAACAGAGCACAUGUUCAUGUCAUUUCAAAAAUGACAACUUACUCUCAUUAGUAAGUACCCACACAAGUGGUAGAUUUGCACUCUACUACUACUCUACGACAGUACUUAUGACUAGGCAAAUUCUUGAACCAAGAAUUGAGCUCAGUCUGACUGAAAGACAUUUAGUUUGAUGCCAGAUAACUUAGUUUAAAGACCUGCAAUAUUAGAUCACCUAAGGGAAUUUGUCCCCUUUGACCAUAAGGUUUCAGACAAAUGCUGUAUUUUUCCUAAGCAGCAUUUAGCCCAUGUGCAAAAGGGCACCUCCACUUACAAAAGAAAAGAUAAUGCAAGUAGCAUGAAGAAGACAGGUGAUAAAAGGACAGUGUUCUAGAUUCCAAAUAGAGCACCUCUACACUACUUACAAUCAUGAGCUGACCCUCUCCAAAAUUUAAGUCUCCAUUUCCAUUGUGCUACUUACAAUCCUCAGAGACAAGACUGUCCCUUCCCUACAAACAGGAAAAAACAUCCAACCCACUGCAACAGGGACAGAGGAAAGGUUCUUGAAUAAAGGGGCUUUUACCAGGGAACCACUGUGUGAAAUCAGUGACCUACUGAUCUCAGAGUUGAUUCUGCCUUUGAUGAAUGGUGUCCAGGUUCAUGAAAUGCAAAGUUCUUUCAACACUUUUACAACACCACAUAAAUCUUUACAUUCAUUAAGAAAUACAAACCCUUAUACAUCUCCAUAAGCUCCUGACUACCAAUUUCACACCAUUAUACUUGCACUUAUACUUCCACAGUGUAACUAGUAUUAAAGAUCAGGCAGACACUGAGCCACUAACAGCUCCAUAAUCUGAGCUGUAGCACUGUGUUUAAUUACAUCGCAUUAUUAAGAAGAUUCAUCACAUGACAGAAUGUGGUGGCACAACAGAAACAAUAAGCUCCAUGACAAAUCCAGGUGAGAUUUUUUUCUGUACAUUAUAUUUUUAAGCAACUAGAAAUAUUUUAUUAUCAAUACAGACAUUUCAAUAUUAGAAAUCUAUACAACGUCCUUUUCUUUCCCAGUCUCCAAAACGUGUAGGUUCAGGGCCUCUGGGUCCACCCCUCUCUUUUGUAGUAGGAUUGAUUCCAUCAGGGAAUUCUAAAAUAACAGGGAAAGUCCAUUAAAAUUUCUAUAAUGUUGACAAAUAUAAAGAUGCUAUCAUUUAUGAUGUUUUCCUUUUAGUUUCAUUUUCAAAGACAAAAUCAAUUCUUUUUUGUUUUGAAAGGCAACCUCGAGCUAAAUAUUUUCCAGAGCCCUACAAAAUUAAUUUCAGUUUUUUGACUUCAAUAUAUAUGAUCAUAUAUAUAUACACACAUACAUAUACAAAUACAGAUAUAAUAUUAUUUAUUAUGCAAAUAAAGAAGCAACUGAAUGUCCAAAGGCAUUAAAGGACCACAUCUUCUCAAGUCAGAACUUGCAUCAUUCAGAAAUGCUGUAUUUAUGUUCACGACAUCUAAAACCCAGGUAUCACUUGCUGUUUACCUCUCUAAUUUUAAGUACUCUGUUUAAAUUUAAGCUUGAAUUUUAGUCAAGACUCUGUUACUCUUGUACUUAAAACAUCUAGGUUGGAUGUUUGACCCAUCCAACCUAACCUUGAACACUUUCAGGAAUGGGGCAUUCACAGGUUCACUAGGCAGCCUGUUCUAAUGUUUCACCACCUUCAGAGCAAAGAGUUUCUUCCUAACAUCUAAUCCAAGCCUGCCUUCCUUCAGUUUAGGACCAUUGUCCCUUGUCCUGUCACUAUCUGCUUGUAUGAAAACUCCUUCCCUGCAUUUUAUAAACCCCCUUAAGGUACUGAACCCCCUUUAGAUAUCAGAAGGCCACAAUUAGAUCUUCCCAAAGCCUUCUCUUCUUCAGACUGAGCAACCCCAGCUCUCUCAGCCUGUCCUGGCAGGAGAGGCGCUCUAGCCCUUUGAUCAUCCUUAUGUCCCUCCUCUGGACCUAUUCAAACAGGUCCAUGCCUUUCUUGUGCUGAAGACUCCACAGCUGGAUGCAGCACUCCAGGUAGGGUCUCAUGAGGGCAGAUGGGGAGAAUCACCCCCCUUGACCUGCUGACCCCGCUGCUUUUGAUGCAGUCCAAGAUCUGGUUUUUGGGCUGCAAUGACACACUGCCAGAUCAUGCCCAGCUUUUCAUCCAACCCCCCCACCCUGCUACAAAAGAGCAGCACACUGCCAGGUCAUGCUCCUUUCCUAACCAGCACAGAGCCUUCUGUACCUCAGCCAACAUUCUUAUACUCAGUGCACCUUUACUCAGGGCCAUCUCCUAAGAAUAGUUAACUGAGGCCAUCAAGCCACGAUGUUCUUGUGGCACAGCAGCAUCCUAGGCUGAGUCUCAUCCUGCACUAGACUGCAGGGCUCCCAGAAAGUCACAGUACCCCACAUGCCCCUUGCCAUGCUGAUUGUCCAGAGCUUCUCACAUAUGCACCUAACUCAUAUCCCUCAGUUACAUCCCUAAGUCAGCCCAGGUGGGCAACACAGGUAAUGAGGUGGAGGGUUGAAAAUGAGAAAAGAUAACAACAGAAAUUCUGGACAGCAGACAAAAAUAAAAGUGAUGGAGGAAACUCAUACAGCUACAGGCUAUACAGGAUGACAUACUGGCAUACCUCUUUCAUAAUUGAUGCCAACCAGGAAAAGAUACAUCAGUAUCUGAGCACCUCUGGCAGUACAAGGGGUGCAAAUGCACCUGAUAUUAUUUUGUACAAGUCAUCAUCCCAAUAUCAAAGCACUACUCAUGUGCUGGCAGUGGAUGCAGAUGCUCAAAAGAUUUCUCCAUGAUAGCUACAGAGCACUGGGAAUUCUAAAUCCAGCUUCAACUCUUAGUUUUUUCCUAAUAAUACAAGAGGCAGUUUGCAAACUCUUGCCGGUGUUACAUGUAAAAAAAUACAGGUGCAACUAAAGAGACCUUGAGUCUUGCUCCAAACCUGGAAUACCUACGCAAAUAACAAAAGAUAUUGAUUAUGCAUGCUUUAAGUGAAGCAGUGAUGGCAUUGAUUUUCCUGGGAAUAAAAAGACGAGGAUUAAACAGCUGCUUACACAGUAACUCCAACUGUGAGUUAGUUCUCAAGUGAGCCACAAUUUGAAAUUGCAUGGAGAUGAUUCUAUAAUACAAGAAUAGUACAACAAUACAAUGACAAACUUGCAGAGAAAUUUGUGAAAGGAGAAGCAGAAGUAGCUUUUCACCAUGAUACAGCUUUCCCAAUGGCUGUGGUGGCCUCAGGGUAAUACACUCUGGAGUUGGAGACCAGUUUUUAGCUCUGCUGCACCAAAAGUGCCAUUUUAGCCUGUAUGAAAAGAGGAGACUUCUCUGAAAAAAUAUCUGAGGAUUUUGGAUAUGCUAUUAAGGAUUCUGAGGUGGAAGAACAUGAUCGGUUUCUUAAAUUAAUGUAAGGAAUAAUUAGUCUUUAUGCUGCUAUCAUUCAACUCUAGUGGCCUUAUGGAAUUAAAGAAGGGGCACAUCUUCAUGAACCGAACUAUGCAUGGCACUGGCUUGCCUGGAUGUUGAAUAUGGAGCCCCUGACAGAGGUGACAGCUACACUACCUUUUAAUUUUCUGGAGUGUAUUGUAUCAAUAGCAGCACAGAACCUCAGGGCUUGACGAGAGGGAAGCACCCAACAAACAGCCCAAGCUGAGCCCUGCGGAACAGGCUCUGUUAUCCAGUCUGCCUUACUUCUCUAUAAACAAACCGCCUGAAUUUCCUCAGGUGAAGGGAACGGACCAGUAACUUCCAAGUACACAGCACAGUUCCUCCAGCUAUUCUUCAAACGUUAUACCACUGUUUACACCACAUUUUACUGUCGUUAAGAAGUACCAAGCAACGACAGGGCAAGAAAGCAAGAGUUGCCCGACAGCAGGAGGUUUACCAUACAAGCGAGAAUAUUAAUAUCGAAAGGGCGAGGGGGAAGGGAAGGGAGGGGAUGAGAGCAGGGAAUCCGUAGGGCCACGGAAGGUGCGGGAAAGGCUGUGCCAGCCCACGGCCCCCCGGGCUGAGGAGGUGGGGCGUGUCACGCUCCUCACGCGCCGCCAUUUUGGGCGCUCUCCAGCCCCCCAGCGCCGGCAGCCCCGGGCGGCGCCCGCCCCGUCCCGUCCCCUCGCUCGUCAGUUCCUGCGGGAGGAAGGGUAGGGGAGCCGGGGAGCCCUUUCCCGGCACAACCCGGGCCCUCCCGCCCUCCGCCUGCCUCUUACUCGCUGCCCCGGGCGCGCCGCGCAGCAGCCGCA